GACAAGAUUAUUCAAGUGGAUAGAGUGCUUGACUUAGAAUCAGGAAGACAUGGGUUCAAAACCUUUUUCAGACA
rnacentral:tRNA from 1 species